rnacentral:lncRNA from 1 species
GGUCCCAGCUCUGGGUCGCGUUGCCGUUGGAAGAGGUGCGAGUGCGGUCACCAGGUCGCCGGUGUCCUGGGGCUGAAGAGGGGGCACAGGCAGCAAGGGCAGGCGUGUGCCGAGCGCCCAGAGGGAAACAUGCUGGACUUGCACCCUGCGGGCUGCCGGGCGCCCGAGGAACGUUCCUCUAGACAGUCGGUAGCCGCCCGUAGUGAGGAGCCCAGACGCCCCGCUCUCCGAGCGCUUAGCCGCCUGUCCUGCCUGCCCCCCCGCACAGCCCGACCCAUCACCGGCCCUCUGGCCCCCGGGGCAGGUGGAGCUGCGGGCAGGCCCCUUCCCGGGGGGAGCUUGUCCACAUCCGCGGUUGGGGCGCUCGGGUGCCCUCUGCCUCCAGAGCCUGCUUCCUGCUUUCCCGGUCAGCAGCCUCCGCGGUGUCGCCCUGAGCCGGAGGAGAACCGGGAGCCGUCCUGGGAAGUGGCUCCAGUUCCACUGCUUUCAGGGAGACCUAGGUUUUGGUUUUCGGUUUUUUGGGCUGUGCUCACAGUGUGCAGGAGCCCCUGGGCCAGGGAUGGAACCCAGGCCACCGCAGGGACAACCGCCAAGGAGCGCCACAGCUUUGUUUUUCUGGUUGAAAUGGCCUGACUUGCUCUCUCUUUCCGUCCUGCGUUGGUGGCGGCCAGACUGAAGGGAGGUGCCUGCUAGGAUCAGCAUGACUGACGGGUGGGCUGCUGAGCAGAGAGCACACCCAGCCUGUCCUGAGCAGUGUCCCCAUCUCUGGUCGGAGGCCACGGUGGGAGUCACACUUCGGAGCCACAUGUUCCCAGAACUGGCUGGAAGCACGUGGGGGACCGGGGACCGCGGGACGGCGUACAGGGCGGCGUUGGCCGUGGAGGUGGGGCACGGCCUCGGCAUGGGGAAUAAAGCCACCAAGUCCACGAGAAGGUCUUGCAGGGAGAGGCCCCGGACCGCAAGGCUGCUGGCUGCUCAGCACUCGGGCUUCGUGGGGACUCGGCCGGCCCAGGCGGCACCAGUGCGGACGCUCCAGGAGUCAGGGUUGGAACUCAGACCUGGUCUCAGAUCUGCUCUCUCCACCCCAGGGAGGCAUCACAGUGGGCUUCAGGGCCCGCCGCGUGUGCAGGUUUCGGGGUCGGGAGUGCUUUGGGAGGGGCCUGUCGUGGGCACAGGUCCACGUCCUUAGCCGGGUCCCUUCUGUGCCCACCCUGGUGCUCCUCGUUUCCCGCAGUGGCCCUCGCCCUCGGGUCUCCGGCUGGCCCCGCGGCUGACCACGCGCGCGUGGAGAUCUCACUGCCUGGGCUUGUCAGCCUCAGCCUCCCUGAGCAACGCCAAGGUCACAGGCGUCCCUGGAGAGGCUCGCGCCCCUGCCCCACACACUAUGCAAAUCUUAGGUUUCUGUGUUAGGCUGCUUCUGCCAGCUCCUCAAAGCUAAAGUCUGGCAUAAACCCCGAGGGCCCUCUGAUGCAGACACUGUACCCGAGGGACCCUCAGGAUCGCAGGAGGGGCGUGUCCAGCUCCUCGAGCCCCAGAGCGUCAGGACGGCCAGGUAGGAGCCCGAGCACAACCAGCAGGAUCCGGUCCUGGUGACGCCAUUGACAAGGCUUGGGGUGGCCUCUCAGGUCCUGGGGCAUCAGUGUCUGGUGUCCAGUUAGGAACUGGGCUGGGAAGUAACGGGCCCUCGGGGGCCGUGUCCACAGAGGACCGACCUGUGGGGGAUCUGGGCGAGGAGCAGUUCCCCCCCAUCUGCAGAGCCCUCCAUCGUGGGGAGGGUGUAACCCAGGAAAACCAGCCUUCACUCGUUCUCUUUCAGUGUUAAUUCAGUCAGCUCUACUUGUGCAAACUAGCCGUGAAACUGUUGGCCAGGUCACUUAAAAUUAAUCUGCUUUCACAAAGCCUUUGCAGAGCUGGACUGCGAUACGGCACAGGCUCAGUAUUACUGCGGGACCGUCCACAGGCGAGAACCCAUCCCCGGCGCCAUCUCGCCAUCCUGACUUGCUUUCCUUUCAAGUGAACCGUUUAAGGAAUGGCUUACAAGGAGAUGCCUUCGUGGCGGUGAAGGAGCACCUUAAACUGCCUGCCUCUUGUGGAGACUGUUUCGUGCUUGUCUUUAACAGGUAACGGGACGUGGAGGGGUGACUGUGGGUGCAGUCGACACAGGACGGUCCCGCCCCGAGAAAGCACCCUCACCACUCACACGGGUUAGGUGCAGGCUGGCGCACCCGACCAGGUAACAGCAGUGGUGCCCCGUGGGGGCUCGGGCCACUAGGGCUUCCGUCCUCGCCUCCGUUUCUCCUUCUCAGGGUUGGAGCCGCUCACCUCCAUCUCUCCAGCUUAGUUUCCGGCAGCAUCCGCCGGCCCAGCGUUUCUAAGGAAGCAUCCUGAGCACAGGUCCAGGUCCAGGACAAGUCAACCCACAGCUCCUGCUUCUCCCUGUGAGGCUAAGUCCAUUUAAUACACCUGAAAACCCAAGCUUUGCCAGAAAGAAGUGUGCUGAGAGCCUAAGGCAUAGCAUCUCCAACAGUACAGCUUGUGACUGUUCUUCCUGUAUGAUCUCGUUUUUAGUUGCUUCACUUUUUUUCUCCAGGCUGUUACAAGAAGGAACCGCAUGAAGUUUUGCUUUCAAAGUGGAGGAUGUGCCUGGUGGCCCAGGUGAUAGUCAGUAAUAUCAGAGUGGGGUUCCUUGUGUGACCCGGUGGGCAGUGGAGCGAUUCUCAAAGUGCAGCCAGGGCCAGGGACAUGCUCGGGGGCCCGGAGACCCUUUCAGGGUCCACUUUUGUCUUUCACUGCAAUCUUCUCUCUGUGAGUGCUCGUCGGCCUUACAGCUGCGGGCGUGUGAUCACACAGGACGGAGCCCAGAGCCCGCCACUCUCUCUGACUUGUUUGCUUUAGAAGAUAUUACUCUCAUUAAGUGUAUGAAUAAACUUUUUUUUAACUCGCCAUUUAAAUUUCUAAUAAGGUGAACAUCAGUAGACAGGCCACAAAAGAGUCUGUUUGGAUCCUGAGAGUGGGGAGGGGUCCUGAGACCCCGGGGUGCUGGGUGGGGGCGUGUUGGGGCCGCACUGCCUGGACGGGUCUCAGCCCAACCACGGUGGGGUUAGUCGGCGAACCUUGGUUUCUUUGUCUGUAAGAGGCAGGUUUUACUGGGUUUCCUCCAUAAGGCUCUCGUGAGGUCUCAGUGGGGCAAUCCGGAUAAAGUGGAUUAUGAUUUCCAUGGCAAAUAACAGCGGAACAACCUCCUGCAUGUGUUCCUAGUUCCAGAGCCUUCAGAGUAACAGGCCAGUAUCGGAAGAAAUUUGGGCAUCCUUUAGUUAUGACCUGAAGUUCUCUCUUUCUCAGGACUGAAAUAGGAUUUUUAAAACUAGAAUCAGCUUACCAUGUUUUCAAAUUCAGAUUGAGUUUUGGUUCUGGAUGUUUGAGUACCUCUUACUACAGCAAGUAAAACACUUUGAAUCAAACCAUACAAGUGAACUACAGCAUUUAUGGGAAAAGAGUGUAACUGCAAAAACAAAACCAGCGUGUUUCCCUUUUGGAAAUUUUGUUUUUCCUUUUUGAAAUAUGUUUGUGUGUUUUCCCUUUUGAAACUUUUCUGCACAUUGAAGUGUGUGCCGUAGUAGAACCAAGAACUUAGGGAGGAAGACGAAACCCUUCUUAGAGUAAAUGCUGAUUUCCUGGCCUUGGGACGGGCUCACGGGCUGAAUUUGAUCAGGGGCCAGCUCCCGGGUGAGGACCAGACGAGCAGCGUCUGUGUGGUAAACAGCACCUCUCAUCUCUGGGGUACCUGUGGGCUCCAGGCACGAUGUGUGAGCAUCUCUGGCCCCUCGCUGCAGUGACGUCAUCCCAGCACAGCCUCCAUCCUUUCCAGUUCAGUUCAGACCCGGGCGACAGUCACCCGCGAGCGACAGUUUCACCCCGGCCUGGGCGUACUCUUCUUGGCAUUUACUUCAUUGAUUGGAGUGUUUUCUGCAUAUACUUGAUUCAUCCUGGAAAUAUUUGAAAGAGUUGUUCUAAUGAAAAAUCUUUGUUCAUACAGUGACUCUGAAAAAAGGAGAGAAAACGUUGCCAUUCAUUUCCAAAUGAUGGGAGAUGACUUAUUGUUUAUUUCACAUUUGAAAAUAAAUAAAUAUCGUUUGAAAAUUAAAUACU